AGUAAAGUCAGCUAACCAAGCUUUUGGGCCCAUACCCCAAGCAUGUAGGUUAAACCCCUACCUUUACUA
rnacentral:tRNA from 2 species